rnacentral:lncRNA from 1 species
AACUUACAGCAGUGUAAAACUUAGGCGAGUGAAAAGAGAAUUAACCAUUUCCUCUUCUUUCAGAGGCUUCUGUGGUUCUGAGGGCUGUCCACGUGGUGAGGAACUGAAGGGCGAAUGCUUAUCCCUUUCUCAUCUUCUUCCCAAGAUACCUUCUCCUUGUGUAGAAACGUUGAGCCCAAGGAUUGGGAAUGCUGAAAUUACUAUUAAGUAUGACUUGAGAAUUCAAGUUUGGAAGAGAUCACAUGGCUGGAACAGCUAGGCAAAGAAAGCCAAGGGUGAGAGAAAUUCCCUGGCUUGUUUCCCCUGCUGUCUGUAUAUCCUCCUAGCAGCCAGAGAAGAGCGUUGCUUUGAUUUGGGAGUCCAUUACACCAUGAUAACAAGAUUGCUUCAAGGAACAUGUUCUGAGCAGUUACAUGAAAUUCUGAACUGGAUUUCAAAGAGUACACGUGAUUCAGUUCACACCACAGUGCUACAACAUUCUGCUGCAAAGGACUCCUCAGCAGAUACAAUACAGUACUUUCAGCACGAAGAUGAGAAUCCUUGACACAUCCAGAAGCUGGCAUUAGUCUUCUGGUGACAAUGCAGUUUCAGAUUUCUCCCUGGUUGUGGCAUUGUCAACAACGAGAAUGUCGGUAUUUUCUAACGAACAGAGGCAGCUCUGUGUAAACUGGGUAGCUGUAUUUUGAUACCUGUGAAAUAGCAGCACAGAACUCAGGUGCAAUUUUCU